rnacentral:rRNA from 1 species
UAAUACUCCACAGAUUAGAGACACUGGAAUGUUCUUUAGUCGAAAGUUCUGGCGCCUUAGGAUGGAUCUGCGGUCGAUUAGGUUGUUGUUGGGGUAACGGCCCAACAAGCCUGUAAUCGAUACGGGUUGUGGGAGCAAGAGCCCGGAGAUGGAAUCUGAGACACGAUUCCAGGCCCUACGGGGCGCAGCAGGCGCGAAAACUUUACAAUGCAGGAAACUGUGAUAAGGGAACUCCGAGUGCCCGUAUACGCGGGCUGUCCAGGUGUUUAAAAAUCAUCUGAAGAAAGGGCCGGGCAAGACCGGUGCCAGCCGCCGCGGUAAUACCGGCGGCUCGAGUGGUGGCCACUAUUAUUGGGCUUAAAGCGUCCGUAGCUGGACCGAUAAGUCUCUUGGGAAAUCCGCCGGCUCAACCGGCGGGCGUCUAAGGGAUACUGUUAGUCUAGGGACCGGGAGAGGUGAGAGGUACUCCGGGGGUAGGAGUGAAAUCCUGUAAUCCCCGGGGGACCACCGAUGGCGAAGGCAUCUCACCAGAACGGCUCCGACAGUGAGGGACGAAAGCUGGGGGAGCGAAACGGAUUAAAUACCCGGGUAGUCCCAGCCGUAAACUAUGCGCGUUAGGUGU